rnacentral:rRNA from 1 species
AUGAGCGGCGGACGGGUGAGUAACGCAUAGGAAUUUACCCGGUAGUGGGGGAUAACCUGGGGAAACCCAGGCUAAUACCGCAUACGUCCUACGGGAGAAAGGGGGCUUUGGCUCCCGCUAUCGGAUGAGCCUAUGCCGGAUUAGCUGGUUGGUGAGGUAAUGGCUCACCAAGGCGACGAUCCGUAGCUGGUCUGAGAGGAUGAUCAGCCACAUCGGGACUGAGACACGGCCCGAACUCCUACGGGAGGCAGCAGUGGGGAAUAUUGGACAAUGGGGGCAACCCUGAUCCAGCCAUGCCGCGUGUGUGAAGAAGGCCCUCGGGUUGUAAAGCACUUUCAGCGAGGAAGAACGCCUAUCGGUUAAUACCCGGUAGGAAAGACAUCACUCGCAGAAGAAGCACCGGCUAACUCCGUGCCAGCAGCCGCGGUAAUACGGAGGGUGCAAGCGUUAAUCGGAAUUACUGGGCGUAAAGCGCGCGUAGGUGGCUUGAUAAGCCGGUUGUGAAAGCCCCGGGCUCAACCUGGGAACGGCAUCCGGAACUAUCAGGCUAGAGUGCAGGAGAGGAAGGUAGAAUUCCCGGUGUAGCGGUGAAAUGCGUAGAGAUCG